rnacentral:lncRNA from 1 species
AGUACCCCAGGUCAUCUUAGGUUUCAUUACAUACAGUCGAGAAGAACGACUGAACAUAAGAGCAGCGUCAACUCACCACCAGUACGACCAAGAAUAUGAUUUUCACGAAGCGGAUCCUGUGUUCUGCCUUUCACCCAGGACAACGGAAUGGAUCCCAGCCGGCGACCCCAAAAAAACGACUUCGUAAAAGGGGGAAACGGAGCGGUCUUCUGGUCAGACUCCGGAGACGGGCACAUCGUGUACCACUCCCUAGCAUUCUUCUCGCCAAUGUCCAGUCUCUUGACAACAAGGUUGAUGAAAUCCGAGCAAGGGUAGCAUUCCAGAGGGACAUCAGAGACUGUAACGUUCUUUGCUUCACGGAAACAUGGCUCACUGGAGAGACGCUAUCGGAGUCAGUGCAGCCAACUGGUUUCUCCACGCAUCGCGCAGACAGAAACAAACAUCUUUCUGGUAAGAAGAGGGGCGGGGGCAUAUGCUUCAUGGUUAACGUGACGUGGUGUGAUCAUAACAACAUACAGGUACUCAAGUCCUUCUGUUCACCUGAUUUAGAAUUCCUCACAAUCAAAUGUCGACCGCAUUAUCUACCAAGGGAAUUCUCUUCGAUUAUAAUCACAGCCGUAUAUAUUCCCCCCCAAGCAGACACAUCGAUGGCUCUGAACAAACUUUAUUUGACUCUUUGCAAACUGGAAUCCAUUUAUCCGGAGGCUGCAUUCGUUGUGGCUGGGGAUUUUAACAAGGCUAAUCUGAAAACAAGACUCCCUAAAUUUUAUCAGCAUAUCGAUUGCGGAACCAGGGCUGGAAAAACCUUGGAUCACUGCUAUUCUAACUUCCGCGACGCAUAUAAGGCCCUGCCCCGCCCUCCUUUCGGAAAAGCUGACCACGACUCCAUUUUGUUGAUCCCUGCCUACAGACAGAAACUAAAACAAGAAGCUCCCGCGCUGAGGUCUGUUCAACGCUGGUCCGACCAAUCUGAUUCCACACUCCAAGACUGCUUCCAUCACGUGGACUGGGAUAUGUUUCGUAUUGCGUCUGACAACAACAUUGACGAAUAUGCUGAUUCGGUGAGCGAGUUCAUUAGAACCGGAAACAUGACCGAAUACAAACAGUGUAACUAUUCCCUCCGCAAGGCAAUCAAACAAGCUAAGCGUCAGUAUAGAGACAAAGUAGAAUCUCAAUUCAACGGCUCAGACACAAG